rnacentral:rRNA from 1 species
UACGUAGGUGGCAAGCGUUGUCCGGAUUUAUUGGGUUUAAAGGGUGCGUAGGUGGUUAGAUAAGUCAGUGGUGAAAGAUGAUUGCUCAACAAUCAAAUUGCCAUUGAUACUGUUUGACUUGAGUGAAGUGGAGGUUGUUGGAAUGGAUGGUGUAGCGGUGAAAUGCAUAGAUAUCAUCCAGAACGUCAAUUGCGAAGGCAGAUGGCUGUACUUUUACUGACACUGAGGCACGAAAGCGUGGGGAUCAAACAGG